UACGGAGGGCGCAAGCGUUGUCCGGAAUUAUUGGGCUUAAAGCGCGCGCAGGCGGUUCCUUAAGUCUGAUGUGAAAGCCCACGGCUUAACCGUGGAGGGUCAUUGGAAACUGGGGAACUUGAGUACAGAAGAGGAGAGUGGAAUUCCACGUGUAGCGGUGAAAUGCGUAGAUAUGUGGAGGAACACCAGUGGCGAAGGCGACUCUCUGGUCUGUAACUGACGCCGAGGAGCGAAAGCGUGGGUAGCAAACAGG
rnacentral:misc_RNA from 1 species